GUUUUUUCAGUCCUUUUCUGUUCAGUUCUUAACCACUUGUAGUUGCCUAUUUGGUAAUGUUUAAGUUCCCAUGACCGAUCUGGCAGUGCAGUUAAAUUUAUGGGUUCUUUUAGAGCCAUGGAUUAGAUUAAUGUACGUUGUCCACAAACUCUUAACACCGACAAACUAUCCUUCAAGAGGCGCUAGGCAAGGAGGUGAGUAAUACCUAUUACCUCGUGCUCCAUCCAAAUCCCAAAAGUGUAACUCCUCUACAGCUAGCACCAACACAUGAUUGUUUUGUGCAAAUGUUUAGGUGUGUUAAAUGAUUAUGAGCAAUAGUCUGAUUUGAUGGUUGAGUUAUUUUCAGAUAUUAAGAUAGUUUACCUUUUAACGUUAUCAACACAUUGAUAUGCUACAUGAUCUCUGUCCGUGCAAUCUUUUGAUAUGUUACAGAAUGCACUAUUCCUAAUUGCUUAGUUGAAGCAUCCUGCAGAUCAAGGUAGAGGAUAUGGAUGCGUAUGCCCCUAAAGAUCUUUUGGUUGUCACUACAGGUUCACAAGGAGAGCCACGUGCAGCUUUGAAUCUUGCAUCUUAUGGGGGAAGUCACACUCUUAAACUAUCAAAAGAGGAUGUCCUUCUUUAUUCAGCUAAGGUUAUUCCUGGAAAUGAGACACGGGUAAUGAAGAUGAUGAAUCGUCUCACUGAUCUUGGCCCAAAAAUUAUCAUGGGUAAAGAUUCUGGCCUGCAUACCUCUGGGCAUGCCUACCGAGAGGAGCUGGAGGAAGUUCUUCGGAUUGUUAAACCACAACAUUUCUUGCCUGUUCAUGGAGAACUCCUAUUUCUCAAAGAACAUGAAUCACUUGGAAGAUCAACUGGCAUACGGCACACAACUGUAAUAAAAAAUGGAGAAAUGCUUGGUGUAUCGCAUCUAAGAAACAGAAGAGUUUUGUCCAAUGGGUUUGUUUCAUUAGGGAAGGAGGAUCUUUAGCAUGGAGAUCUUCCGACCUCAGAAGGAACAUGGUUUAGCGCAGACUGGUUUGAAAGGAAAAUUUAAGAUUACUACAAGAUGUCUAUGGCUUGAUAAUGGAAGAUUGUUGGACGCACUCUACAAAGCAGCUCAUGCUGCAUUGUUAAGUUGUCCUAUGAAUUGUCCACUUAGUCACAUGGAGAGGAUGGUAGCUGAAAUCUUGAGGAAAAUGGUACGGAAGUAUAGUGAGAAGAGGCCUGAUGUCAUUGCGGUUGCUAUGGAGAACACCACAGCAAGUUUCUCAGAACACCUCGAUGCUAAAUCAUCUGGAAAUUUUGAACCUUCCUCAGCUACUAGCCAUCUGAGCAGGAGUCCAGCUAUGAGUCUUGAAGGCAGUUAUAAAACACACCCAGACAACCCAGAGGUGGAUGCUGAAGAAGCCCUUCCUGAGGCCACGAGAACAGCACUGGAUGAUGCAACCACACUGUUAUGCAUCUAUCAUGCAUAAUGGAUAAUAUCCGAUGUUAUGUUUCUUUCACCAGUGGAAAUUUGCUCAUGUUACAUUCAGUAAGCCGGAAUACCUCCAAGAUUUAGAUAUUGUAAUGAACAGAUUCCAUAAACAGAGACCUGUUUAUGGAGGUUGGGAACAACACCUUGGAUUGGAGCAUACAACCACUACCCCAAAAAGGUCCUACUUAGGCAACAACCAGAACCACCAUUCUUUUGAGAAGCCUAUGAAGAUUUACAACUAAAGCUGGGAAUACUUUUUACAAGUGAUGAAUGGAUAUGAAGGCAGCCUUGUUCCAAAAGCAGUCUUUUGGUGAUGUACAUAGAGCUUUUGCAUAGAGUAGUUUAUGUGGCAGUUAUCUCAAGAAUUUUCAUCUGGUGGAUGUACAGGGUUCGUAUAGCAACAUUUCCUUGUAGAAAGUUGAAGUUGUAUAUCGAGGGUGGAUUUACCUGUGUUUAUCUUUUCGACCCUAAGCCUCUGGGAAGCUGUGAACCAUAGCCUCAUGAAAUAUGCCUGUUGUUGAUUC